AACGAACGCUGGCGGCAUGCCUAACACAUGCAAGUCGAACGAGACCUUCGGGUCUUGUGGCGCACGUGUGCUUAACGCGUGGGAACCUGCCCUUAGGUUCGGAAUAACUCCCCGAAAGGUGUGCUAAUACCGGAUAAUGUCUUCGGACCAAAGAUGUAUGGCGUUGGGAUGGGCGCGCGUUGGUUUAGCGAGUUGGUAGGGUAAAAGCCUGACAAGGAGAGGUAGCAUAGCUGGUCGGUGAGGAGGACCAACAACACUGGACCUAAGACACGGACCAGAAUCGUAGGGGAGGCAGAGGAGGGGAAUAUUGGACAAGGGGCGAAAGCCUAAUCAAGCAAUGCGGGGUAAGUGAUGAAGGCCUUAGGGUUGUAAAGCUCUUUUACCCGGGAUGAUAAUGACAGUACCGGGUGAAUAAGCACCGGCUAACUACGUG
rnacentral:rRNA from 1 species